rnacentral:rRNA from 1 species
UACGUAGGUGACAAGCGUUGUCCGGAUUUACUGGGCGUAAAGAGCGCGCAGGCGGUCGUUCAAGUCGAGUGUGAAAGCCCCCGGCUCAACUGGGGAGGGUCAUUCGAUACUGAUCGACUCGAAGGCAGGAGAGGGAAGUGGAAUUCCCGGUGUAGUGGUGAAAUGCGUAGAGAUCAGGCGGAACACCCGUGGCGAAGGCGGCCAGCUGGGCCGUCCCUGACGCUGAGGCGCGAAGGCGUGGGGAGCGAACGGG